AUGAUUAGUGCUUCUUCAAUCCAGCUAAAAGCUUUGGCAUUGGCAUCACCAGCGGUUCCUCAAAAUGCUCGGGUGGCUUUAUACCAAGCACUGCCUCCUCGGAUCAAACCAGUCCUGCAUACCCAACUGCGGCGGCGUUUUCCCCUCGGAGAAAAGCAGACCAUGACGGUAGCAGAGGUGAGAGCUGAAAUGAACAGGGUAUUGCGGUGGCUUGUGCCAGCUGCAGAAUCCACCAGGCUUUGCCUUCAAGAAUGGGCGAUGAAAGGGAUGGAGGGUGUCAAUGUUGACGAAACAAACUGGUUCGAACAAGAGAAUCAUGUCAGUGUCGGUUCCAUGCUCGCUCAUGCAGAUGCCAAAGUGAGCAAGGUAGAGACGCUGUACUACGCCGACAAGGAGACGACCGAAGGUUACAUAGCGGAGCUUGUUCUGGCUCUUCAUCUUCUUGUUUCGCUGCCUACGGAGGAGAAGUGA
rnacentral:rRNA from 1 species